rnacentral:rRNA from 1 species
GGUUAAGCGACUAAGCGUACACGGUGGAUGCCCUGGCAGUCAGAGGCGAUGAAGGACGUGCUAAUCUGCGAUAAGCGUCGGUAAGGUGAUAUGAACCGUUAUAACCGGCGAUUUCCGAAUGGGGAAACCCAGUGUGUUUCGACACACUAUCAUUAACUGAAUCCAUAGGUUAAUGAGGCGAACCGGGGGAACUGAAACAUCUAAGUACCCCGAGGAAAAGAAAUCAACCGAGAUUCCCCCAGUAGCGGCGAGCGAACGGGGAGCAGCCCAGAGCCUGAAUCAGUGUGUGUGUUAGUGGAAGCGUCUGGAAAGGCGUGCGAUACAGGGUGACAGCCCCGUACACAAAAAUGCACAUGCUGUGAGCUCGAUGAGUAGGGCGGGACACGUGGUAUCCUGUCUGAAUAUGGGGGGGACCAUCCUCCAAGGCUAAAUACUCCUGACUGACCGAUAGUGAACCAGUACCGUGAGGGAAAGGCGAAAAGAACCCCGGCGAGGGGAGUGAAAAAGAACCUGAAACCGUGUACGUACAAGCAGUGGGAGCACGCUUAGGCGUGUGACUGCGUACCUUUUGUAUAAUGGGUCAGCGACUUAUAUUCUGUAGCAAGGUUAACCGAAUAGGGGAGCCGAAGGGAAACCGAGUCUUAACUGGGCGUUAAGUUGCAGGGUAUAGACCCGAAACCCGGUGAUCUAGCCAUGGGCAGGUUGAAGGUUGGGUAACACUAACUGGAGGACCGAACCGACUAAUGUUGAAAAAUUAGCGGAUGACUUGUGGCUGGGGGUGAAAGGCCAAUCAAACCGGGAGAUAGCUGGUUCUCCCCGAAAGCUAUUUAGGUAGCGCCUCGUGAAUUCAUCUCCGGGGGUAGAGCACUGUUUCGGCAAGGGGGUCAUCCCGACUUACCAACCCGAUGCAAACUGCGAAUACCGGAGAAUGUUAUCACGGGAGACACACGGCGGGUGCUAACGUCCGUCGUGAAGAGGGAAACAACCCAGACCGCCAGCUAAGGUCCCAAAGUCAUGGUUAAGUGGGAAACGAUGUGGGAAGGCCCAGACAGCCAGGAUGUUGGCUUAGAAGCAGCCAUCAUUUAAAGAAAGCGUAAUAGCUCACUGGUCGAGUCGGCCUGCGCGGAAGAUGUAACGGGGCUAAACCAUGCACCGAAGCUGCGGCAGCGACACUAUGUGUUGUUGGGUAGGGGAGCGUUCUGUAAGCCUGUGAAGGUGUGCUGUGAGGCAUGCUGGAGGUAUCAGAAGUGCGAAUGCUGACAUAAGUAACGAUAAAGCGGGUGAAAAGCCCGCUCGCCGGAAGACCAAGGGUUCCUGUCCAACGUUAAUCGGGGCAGGGUGAGUCGACCCCUAAGGCGAGGCCGAAAGGCGUAGUCGAUGGGAAACAGGUUAAUAUUCCUGUACUUGGUGUUACUGCGAAGGGGGGACGGAGAAGGCUAUGUUGGCCGGGCGACGGUUGUCCCGGUUUAAGCGUGUAGGCUGGUUUUCCAGGCAAAUCCGGAAAAUCAAGGCUGAGGCGUGAUGACGAGGCACUACGGUGCUGAAGCAACAAAUGCCCUGCUUCCAGGAAAAGCCUCUAAGCAUCAGGUAACAUCAAAUCGUACCCCAAACCGACACAGGUGGUCAGGUAGAGAAUACCAAGGCGCUUGAGAGAACUCGGGUGAAGGAACUAGGCAAAAUGGUGCCGUAACUUCGGGAGAAGGCACGCUGAUAUGUAGGUGAAGCGACUUGCUCGUGGAGCUGAAAUCAGUCGAAGAUACCAGCUGGCUGCAACUGUUUAUUAAAAACACAGCACUGUGCAAACACGAAAGUGGACGUAUACGGUGUGACGCCUGCCCGGUGCCGGAAGGUUAAUUGAUGGGGUUAGCCGCAAGGCGAAGCUCUUGAUCGAAGCCCCGGUAAACGGCGGCCGUAACUAUAACGGUCCUAAGGUAGCGAAAUUCCUUGUCGGGUAAGUUCCGACCUGCACGAAUGGCGUAAUGAUGGCCAGGCUGUCUCCACCCGAGACUCAGUGAAAUUGAACUCGCUGUGAAGAUGCAGUGUACCCGCGGCAAGACGGAAAGACCCCGUGAACCUUUACUAUAGCUUGACACUGAACAUUGAGCCUUGAUGUGUAGGAUAGGUGGGAGGCUUUGAAGUGUGGACGCCAGUCUGCAUGGAGCCGACCUUGAAAUACCACCCUUUAAUGUUUGAUGUUCUAACGUUGACCCGUAAUCCGGGUUGCGGACAGUGUCUGGUGGGUAGUUUGACUGGGGCGGUCUCCUCCUAAAGAGUAACGGAGGAGCACGAAGGUUGGCUAAUCCUGGUCGGACAUCAGGAGGUUAGUGCAAUGGCAUAAGCCAGCUUGACUGCGAGCGUGACGGCGCGAGCAGGUGCGAAAGCAGGUCAUAGUGAUCCGGUGGUUCUGAAUGGAAGGGCCAUCGCUCAACGGAUAAAAGGUACUCCGGGGAUAACAGGCUGAUACCGCCCAAGAGUUCAUAUCGACGGCGGUGUUUGGCACCUCGAUGUCGGCUCAUCACAUCCUGGGGCUGAAGUAGGUCCCAAGGGUAUGGCUGUUCGCCAUUUAAAGUGGUACGCGAGCUGGGUUUAGAACGUCGUGAGACAGUUCGGUCCCUAUCUGCCGUGGGCGCUGGAGAACUGAGGGGGGCUGCUCCUAGUACGAGAGGACCGGAGUGGACGCAUCACUGGUGUUCGGGUUGUCAUGCCAAUGGCACUGCCCGGUAGCUAAAUGCGGAAGAGAUAAGUGCUGAAAGCAUCUAAGCACGAAACUUGCCCCGAGAUGAGUUCUCCCUGACUCCUUGAGAGUCCUGAAGGAACGUUGAAGACGACGACGUUGAUAGGCCGGGUGUGUAAGCGCAGCGAUGCGUUGAGCUAACCGGUACUAAUGAACCGUGAGGCUUAACCUU